rnacentral:lncRNA from 1 species
UAGAUUAUCAAAUGUGAAAUAUUAUCUUCAAAAAUCAUUCCAUUUUGAAAGCAUUUGAUGAUGAGAAGGACUCUCCAAAUCUCAAAGAGAUGCGAUGCUUUUGUGCGCACGCACGAGACUUCCUUCCCUUUUUCAAUUUUUCUCUACCCCAAAAAUAUCAAAAAAAAUAUAUCUCAUGCUUUGAGAUAUGUACCAGAGGAUGGAGGGUGAUAUGGGCUGCUGCACACAUCAUAAUCCCAUUCCAGAAGGACUCUUUUCUUCUGCCCACGCCAACAGUUGUACGCAGAACCUGUUUUGCACCAAGAGUCCUUCACAACUUAGACUCUUCAUAAUUGGCGUU